UAUUUUUUCACUGUGUGAUUGAACUACCAAUUCAAAAAAAGUUUAAGAAAUAAAAACUCAACCUGUCUUUACCAUGUCACAAAUGAAAGAGGCCCAUAGAAAUGUGCUAUUGUCUGUCUUAGCAUUCCACCAAGGCCAGGGUCCCCAGGGCCCAGGAAGAAGGCCCACAGUUUCCUUUCAAGGCUGGCCCCAGGAUGGCUUAGUCAGGAAGUCCCUUCCAGGUCUGACUUCAUUCUCUCCUGCGGAAACAGCCAGCGCUGCAUCCCUAGUCCACGUAGCUAUCCAUGGGUAUCUUCAAGUCCCUCUGGGCCUUCCUGGGUUCGCUGGGUAAGUCUAACCCCUACAUCCUCCCCCUCGGCGAACUUGGAAUGGGUUGGGGUUACUCAGUGGGCAACAGGCCCAUUGGUUCUUGUAACCCACCAGGGAAAGGGAGAUACAAAGGGAAGAAAAGAGAGGCUAGAAAGCAGAGGCUUGCUGGCCAGCCUCUCCUCACCCUCUUCUGUGCACAGCCGUCUCCACUGUGUCCACCUGCCCCGUCCCUUCCCCCCUACACACAUAGAACGUCUCUGAAUCUCUCUCCUGCUCCCUCCCUUGUCCUCCAUGGCCUCGUCCUCUCCCUGGUCCUCCCAGGUGAGUGCCCACGCCUGCUGUCACCAUGACAACCAUUCACCACAAGCAGAUGCUGCAGGAGCACGUGUCUCUGGAGCUCUCCAGCUUCACCACCCACGUGAAGACCUUCUCCCAGACAACCAAGAUCGUGGGAGGCAAGCAGAGCGGGGAGGGCUGGGGCGAUCAGGAAGGGGCAGACUUUCUUCCUCCAGUCUUUGCAACUCCAGGGCCCCUCAGGAGCCCAAGAUAGCAACAGUAACCCUCUCCCAACCUGUGCUUCUAAUCUGUGCUUUGAUGAAGCUUCAGCUGGCCAGAUGUUCACCCACAGAUCAGAUCUCCAGGAAAACAGCUUAGGAAAAAUCAAUCACAUGGAUGUGUGUGAGUGAUUGAUGGACUCUUAAUUGCUUCGUGGAGAUCAGAGCCAUAGGCAAGUGCGUGUGUCUCCGGUGGUAGAAUUGCAGGCAUGGAGGAAGGGAGGUAGCUACCUUAAUUACACAUGAGUAAUGCUGACCCCGCUCCACUUAAGAAAUAGCAGACUUGGAGCUGCCAGUGGAGAGAGAGUGAACACAUGAACAAGUGACCUAAGCUUCCAGGCUCUCCACCCUUGGGGCCCAGACUUGGGGGCUGGCAGAUCCAAGGGAAAGCUGAGAUGUGGUCUCAGAGCAGAACAGACGGUUUUAGUCCUGUCUCCAGAGGCAUGUGAUUAAAAGAUGGCCAGGGGCCAGACUAUUGAAUACCUGUCUUCCCGGUCCUUGCGCCUCCCUCAGAGUCCUCUUUGCACAAAGGCAGAUGAACGCUCUUUACCAAGCCCUCGAGGUCAGAGAGGCAGAGCGAGUGGAGCAGCCAGGGCUCAAGACCAGAAGUUGCAAACUCAAGCGAUUCUAGUAAUGGUUCUCAGCCCUGGCUGCACGUCAGAGUCAUCUCACGGUGGCGAGCAGGGGGGAGGGGGGAAAAAGUAGCGAUACUGGAGACUCCCCUUAGACUGUUAGAUGUUGCUUUGUUGUUGCUGUUUGUUUGUUUGUUUUUAAAGCUCUCCAGGGAUCCUAAUGUGCAGCCAGAGUCGAAAUCCACUAGCCCACAGGGUCCGGGCGGGGAACACAAAUGCAGGAAGAAGACUGAGAUGGACUGCAGAGCGCAUACCUCAUCUAAAGGGGCAGCCACUGUUCACCUCCCACAGACUGUCGCCCUAUGGGAAUACAAAUCCAGUUUUGAGAAUCCAGAAAUCUGAAUUUUUAGGUGAAAUCUCUCAAUUUAUAGAUGUAGAGCCACUUUUUGUUUAAACAUUGUAGAGGUCAAAUAAAACACAUCAGCAGGCCAAGUGCAGCCUGCGCACAGCUUGUGGGAGACCUCUGAUUGCGAUUUAAAAGCAGGCCACGCGGCUCCCUAACACACUGUUCUCAUCCCAGUCCUUCAGAUUAGUGAGGAUAAUAAAGGCACCUACCUCACUGGGAUGUUGUGAGGAUUAAAUAAAACAAUCUCGGAAAUGUGCUUAGCACAGUUCCUGAUUCCAGGAAUGCACUCUCGGAAUCACAGCCAUUGUUAUUAACUGUUACCUCUCCAGCCAACGAGGUUGCCUGUAAUCUAUACGGAAGAAACGACGUUUGUUUUCCAAAUACAAAAUUAUAUUACCUGGAUCGAAUAUGCUCUUUCAGAUAAGGAGAUCCGAUACAUAGCCCCCCUGGAGUGGGAAGGAGAAUUCACCACGCCCAAGGUAAUAAAUGCUGACCCCACCGAAAAGCAGGGAGAAGGCCUCCCAAGCAGCAGCAGACUCAAGGCUCUCUUAAUGCUCCUAGGGGAGCAGGAUUUCCAGAAGAGAAGCCCACGAGACUAGGAAAAAAACAAAGAGAACUCUCCUUUUUUAAAAAAAGAAAUAUAUAUUAGGACUCAGGGCGUGGCCCCAUAAAGGUGAUUGACCAUUGAGGGGUGGGAGGGGAGCUGGCUCCCCCUAGUGGUUGAAAUUUGCCAUAACACAAUGACCCAUUGUCUGUAAGGUCCUCCUUUCUUAGCCAAAGCCGGUCGUGCCCUCGCUGACCUAAAAUGCUCCAUUGUGCCCUCAAGGAAAGGUCAGCCCUCCAACUCCGGGCUGAGCUCCGCCUGGAGCCCAUUCUGACCUCUCGACUGCCGCCACAGAGCAAGUCGUGUCGAGGAAGUCCUCGACCACUGUUGAGUUCUUCAACUUGGAUGCCGGAGCUCCGACGUCCCUGCGGGACGAGAGCGCCCCGGAGUUCGUGGAGAAGCCUCAGCCCGUCACCGCAUCCGAGGGCGUGUCGUUCCCCGCGUCUCCCCAGGCCCCUGGGUGCUUCCCUUUCUUCUCCAGUGCCCCAGCCGCCACCACCACCACCACCCCUGGCCCCCAAUACACAAACACUGUCAGAGCCAGGCUAAGGGUCCCCUCCUCUGCCCGGGGCAGGGGCGAGAUCGCUGGGAAGAGGCAGGGAGCAGGCAGAAGGUGCAGCCGGGAGGCUAAGACGCGACACGCGUCCUGUGCACACAGCAGGGGAUAAAGCCGUGUUCCCAGCCCGGGUGCAGGGAACCCCAAACCCCACAUCUCCUGGAAGAAGGAGAGCGGCAUCCCCAUCAAGGAGUCCGCCAACAUCUUCUACGACAGCAUUAACAAGGAACACGUGCUGAAGGUGCAGGGACCCGAGCCCGAGGUCCAGUUACCCAUGAGGCCAGAGGCAGGGACUCCUGGGGUAGGUCGCCGGUCUCUCACGGACAAGAGACCCACAAUGACGCUCCAAGAAGUGGGAGAUGGGCAAAGAGGCUUCAUUGCCCUAGGGAGAGACAGGAUAAGAGAGGCCGAGUCAGGAGCUGGGGUGUUGCCAGAGGCCGGGCCUGGGGAGGUGGGGGACGACGCCAAAAUUAGGGGCGGGGCAAGGCAGAGCUAGGGCAAAACCAGCACAAGGAGGGGGCAGGACCAAAUGAAAGAGAAGGAGGGGUUCCAGAAGGUGAGUGAGCCAAAAGGGAAGGUGAGACCCAAGCUAUGGGCGUGGCUAGAAAGGGGCGGGACCCUUGGUGGGUGGAGCGUGGCCGAGUUGGGGCUGGGCCGGAACGGAGGAGAGGCUGGUCAUAAAAUAAGGAUGAGGGUCAGGGUUCCUCUUCCAGGGAGCCUUCCAGAAGAGUGUCGUCAAGGGCCAAUCAUCCUUAGGUCUAACCAGCUUCUGCAACCUCCGGCUCCAGACCCUUUGAGGAAAGGGAGAGAUGGGGUCACUGGGGAGAUGGGGUCACUGGGACCCUGGGACCUUACUCCUGUCCCAAUCCUGCCCCAAAUUCCUGUUGUGAAAGGCAGAGUCUCCCCUCUCCCAAACAGACAGGAAGUUGGUUCCUUCUCUUCCAAAGACCCAUUGUUGGACCCUCAGCGCCCCACAGCACACACAAGCUGCCCUGGAGUCCCCCUACUGGCCAUCCCCUAUACAAGUUCAUUCAUUCCAGAGUCCACUGGUCUGUAAGCACCAUGCUACAGGCACCAAGACAGCGAUAGUCACCACCAUUCCCUCAGGGGCUCAGCCCCGCACCUGGCAUGGAGGAGUAAAUACGUGUUAAACGAAGGAGUAUUCAGCCCAGUGCCAGAAACUGCAGCUAGAGUUACCACUCGGAGGAAGUCCCUGUCUUCCAGAAGCUCACAGCCAAGGGGGAGAAUCCAAUGCACAAUCAGGCUACAAACAGACACCCCCACACUGACUGCUACCUGGUUCCUCCACAUCGUAGAGGCUGCUCAGUCUUCCACACAGACGCCCACACUCAGCUCCCCCCAUCCCCCAAAAAUG
rnacentral:lncRNA from 1 species